GAAAAAACCUGACAUAACAGUAAAGAAAGUCUAAAAAGAAGCAGAAACGACAAAAAUAAACCACUACAGAAGCUAACUAAUCAAAUCCAAACAGAAAAGCAAAAACCAACAAAGCAAACCAACACAAAACCAGCCACAGAAGGAGAAAACCACCAGCAGAAAACAAGAGGAAUAUCAGCCAAAAGCUUUCCAGAGAAAAAACCCCAUUAGAAGCACAAAACAGAGAUUAAAAUUGACUUUGAAACCCAGCAAAGGAGAUUCCGCGAACCUUAUCCAAUCUUCAAAGUCUACUCACAUCUCAAACCUAAAGGAAGAAAGUAGAGCGGUCCAUCUCAGCUAAAUCUGCAACAGAGGAAGGAGCCUCCUCAACCCAAGAAUAGGGAGAUACCCGAUGUCGUCCCUCCAUCGCUAAAGCAUGCGCCGCUCUAUUUAUUUCUCUGGAGACAAACUGUUUCUUGAUGACAGUAAGAGAGUCACCUUCCAGGAUGAGAUUUCUGAAACCCAUAUCUAGCGCAAAACAAAAAGCCCGUUCACACGCUCUCGCCUCAGCUACAAAAGCAUCUGCCACAUCC